AGAGUUUGAUCAUGGCUCAGGAUGAACGCUAGCGGCAGGCUUAACACAUGCAAGUCGAACGGUAACAGAACUAGCUUGCUAGUUGCUGACGAGUGGCGGACGGGUGAGUAACGCGUAUGCAACCUACCUAUAACAGGAGAAUAGCCCCGAGAAAUCGGGAUUAAUGCUCCAUAACAAUAUUUUUUGGCAUCUUAAGAUAUUUAAAGCUCCGGCGGUUAUAGAUGGGUAUGCGUGACAUUAGCUAGUUGGUGAGGUAACGGCCCACCAAGGCAACGAUGUCUAGGGGUUCUGAGAGGAUGAUCCCCCACACUGGUACUGAGACACGGACCAGACUCCUACGGGAGGCAGCAGUGAGGAAUAUUGCGCAAUGGAGGAAACUCUGACGCAGCCAUGCCGCGUGAGGAAUGAAUGCCCUAUGGGUUGUAAACUUCUUUUAUAUGGGAAGAAACUUUUCUACGUGUAGAAAACUGACGGUACCAUACGAAUAAGCACCGGCUAACUCCGUGCCAGCAGCCGCGGUAAUACGGAGGGUCCAAGCGUUAUCCGGAUUUAUUGGGUUUAAAGGGUGCGUAGGCGGAAUAGUAAGUCAGAGGUGAAAUCCUAUCGCUCAACGAUAGAACUGCCUUUGAUACUGUUAUUCUUGAGUAUGGUUGAAGUGGGCGGAAUAUGGCAUGUAGCGGUGAAAUGCUUAGAUAUGCCAUAGAACACCGAUUGCGAAGGCAGCUCACUAAGCCGUAACUGACGCUGAUGCACGAAAGCGUGGGGAGCGAACAGGAUUAGAUACCCUGGUAGUCCACGCUGUAAACGAUGAUCACUCGCUGUUGGCGAUACACUGUCAGCGGCCAAGCGAAAGUAUUAAGUGAUCCACCUGGGGAGUACGAUCGCAAGGUUGAAACUCAAAGGAAUUGACGGGGGCCCGCACAAGCGGUGGAGCAUGUGGUUUAAUUCGAUGAUACGCGAGGAACCUUACCUGGGCUUAAAUGUAGAAUGACAGGCUGGGAAACCAGUCCUUCUUCGGACAAUCUACAAGGUGCUGCAUGGUUGUCGUCAGCUCGUGCCGUGAGGUGUCGGGUUAAGUCCCUUAACGAGCGCAACCCCUACCUCUAGUUGCCAGCGGGUUAUGUCGGGGACUCUAGGAAGACUGCCAGCGCAAGCUGUGAGGAAGGUGGGGAUGACGUCAAAUCAUCACGGCCCUUACGUCCUGGGCUACACACGUGCUACAAUGGCGAGUACAAAGGGCAGCUACUUGGUGACAAGAAGCUAAUCUCUAAAACUCGUCCCAGUUCGGAUUGAAGUCUGCAACUCGACUUCAUGAAGAUGGAAUCGCUAGUAAUCGCGCAUCAGCAAUGGCGCGGUGAAUACGUUCCCGGGCCUUGUACACACCGCCCGUCAAGCCAUGGAAGCUGGGGGUGCCUGAAGUCGGUGACCGAAAGGAACUGCCUAGGGUAAAACUGGUAACUGGGGCUAAGUCGUAACAAAGGUAACC
rnacentral:rRNA from 1 species